rnacentral:rRNA from 1 species
AGCGAACGCUGGCGGCAGGCCUAACACAUGCAAGUCGAACGAACCUUUCGGGGUUAGUGGCGGACGGGUGAGUAACACGUGGGAACGUGCCUUUAGGUUCGGAAUAACUCAGGGAAACUUGUGCUAAUACCGAAUGUGCCCUUCGGGGGAAAGAUUUAUCGCCUUUAGAGCGGCCCGCGUCUGAUUAGCUAGUUGGUUGAGGUAAUGGCUCACCAAGGCGACGAUCAGUAGCUGGUCUGAGAGGAUGAUCAGCCACAUUGGGACUGAGACACGGCCCAAACUCCUACGGGAGGAAGCAGUGGGGAAUCUUGCGCAAUGGGCGAAAGACUGACGCAGCCAUGCCGCGUGAAUGAUGAAGGUCUUAGGAUUGUAAAAUUCUUUCACCGGGGACGAUAAUGACGGUACCCGGAGAAGAAGCCCCGGCUAACUUCGUG